UACAGGGGGUGGCAAGCGUUAAUCGGAAUUACUGGGCGUAAAGCGUGCGUAGACGGUUAUGUAAGUCGGGUGUGAAAGCCCCGGGCUCAACCUGGGAAUGCCAUUCGAGACUGCAUAGCUAGGGUGCGGAAGAGGGAAGCGGAAUUUCCGGUGUAGCGGUGAAAUGCGUAGAUAUCGGAAGGAACACCAGUGGCGAAAGCGGCUUCCUGGUCCAGCACCGACGUUCAGGCACGAAAGCGUGGGGAGCAAACAGG
rnacentral:rRNA from 1 species